GCUUUGGGAGGAGCUCGCUUACUAUCAGCUUGUUGGUAGGGUAAUGGCCUACCAAGGCUAUGACGGUUAGGGGGUGUGAGAGCAUGACCCCCAGCAUUGGCACUGAAACACUGGCCAAACACCUACGGGUGGCUGCAGUCGAGAAUCUUCCACAAUGGGGGAAACCCUGAUGGAGCGAUGCUGCGUGCGGGAUGAAGGCCUUCGGGUUGUAAACCGCUUUUGUAGGGGACGAAAUUUUUGACGGUACCCUUUCGAAUAAGAGGUUGCUAACUCUGUGCCAGCAGCAGCGGUAAUACAGAGACCUCAAGCGUUAUCCGGAUUUACUGGGCGUAAAGCGUCUGUAGGGGGUUUAUUAAGUUCCAAGUAAAAUUUCAAGGCUCAACUUUGAAUUCGCUUGGAAAACCUAAUAAACUGGAGUCUAGCAGAGGUGCAUGGAACUUGUGGUGUAGGAGUUGAAAUCCGUUGAUAUCACAAGGAACACCAAAGGCGAAGGCAUUGCACUGGGCUAGCACUGACCCUGAGAGACGAAAGCGUGGGGAGCAAAACGGAUUAGAUACCCGUGUAGUCCACGCCCUAAACGAUGAAUGCUAAAUGUUCGGGGAUUCGACCCCCUGGGUGUUACAGCUAACGCGUUAAGCAUUCCGCCUGGGAAGUACGGCCGCAAGGCUAAAACUCAAAGGAAUAGACGGGGAUCCGCACAAGCGGUGGAGCAUGUGGUUUAAUUCGAUGCAACGCGAAGAACCUUACCUGGGCUUGAACUGCAGGUGCUAUCUCCUGAAAGGGAGUUUCCUUCGGGACGCCUGUAGAGGUGCUGCAUGGCUGUCGUCAGCUCGUGCUGUGAGGUGUUGGGUUAAGUCCCGCAACGAGCGCAACCCCUGUCCCUAGUUGCCAUCAGGUCAAGCUGGGAACUCUAGGGGGACUGCCCCGGAUAACGGGGAGGAAGGUGGGGAUGACGUCAAGUCAUCAUGGCCCUUACGUCCAGGGCUACACACGUGCUACAAUGGCCGGUACAACGGGUAGCGAGACAGCGAUGUGGAGCAAAUCCCUUAAAACCGGUCUCAGUUCAGAUUGCAGUCUGCAACCCGACUGCAUGAAGUUGGAAUCGCUAGUAAUCGCGGAUCAGCAUGCCGCGGUGAUACGCUCCCGGGCCUUGUACACACCGCCCGUCACGCCAUGGGAGUCGGUAGCACCCGAAGCCGGUGGCCCAAUCCUGCUUGCAGGAGGGGAGCCGUCGAAGGUGAG
rnacentral:rRNA from 1 species